rnacentral:miRNA from 1 species
UCUCUGGUCUUGCCACCCCAG